rnacentral:rRNA from 1 species
GAAAGUAAGCAAGGGCAGACGGUGGAUGCCUUGGCUCUCGGAGGCGACGAAGGACGUGAUAAGCUGCGAAAAGCCCGGGGGAGGCGCAAAUAGCCGUUGAUCCCGGGAUAUCCGAAUGGGGCAACCCGGCAGGCUGAAGGCCUGCCAUCCCGUAAGGGAGGCGAACGUGGGGAACUGAAACAUCUAAGUACCCAUAGGAGGAGAAAAUAAACAAUGAUUCCGUAAGUAGUGGCGAGCGAACACGGAAGAGCCCAAACCCAUGUCGUCUAGGCGACACGGGGGUUGUAGGACCACGACGUGGCAAGAUAGAGUCAAGUGGAACGCCUUGGAAAAGGCGGUCAUAGAGGGUGAAAACCCCGUACACGACUGACGAUUGAAGCCUAGUGGUAUCCUGAGUAGCGCGGGGCACGAGAAAUCUUGCGUGAAACUGCGGGGCCCAUCCCGUAAGGCUAAAUACUCCCGAGAGACCGAUAGCGAACCAGUACCGUGAGGGAAAGGUGAAAAGAACCCCGAGCAGGGGAGUGAAAUAGACCCUGAACCCGUCUGCCUACAAGCGGUCGGAGCAUCGUCAAGAUGUGACGGCGUGCCUUUUGCAUAAUGAACCUACGAGUUACCUUCCCCGGCAAGGUUAAGUACCUAAGGUACGGAGCCGAAGCGAAAGCGAGUCUGAAGAGGGCGGCCAGUCGGGGGGGGUAGACGCGAAACCGAGUGAUCUACCCUUGGCCAGGUUGAAGGUUGGGUAACACCAACUGGAGGACCGGAUGGGUAAGCGUUGAAAAGCUUUCCAAUGAGCUGAGGGUAGGGGUGAAAGGCUAAUCAAACUCGGAGAUAGCUCGUACUCCCCGAAAUGCAUUUAGGUGCAGCCUCUUUAUAGUAUAUCGUGAGGUAGAGCGACUGAUUGGAUGCGAGGGCUUCACCGCCUAUCAAGUCCAGAUAAACUCCGAAUGCGCGAUAUAUAUUUAAAGGGAGUGAGGGCGCGGGUGCUAAGGUCCGUGUCCGAGAGGAGAAGAAUCCAGACCACCGGCUAAGGCCCCCAAAUGAUCGUUGAGUUGAACUAACGAGGUCGGAUCGCAGAGACAGCUAGGAUGUUGGCUUGGAAGCAGCCAUUCAUUUAAAGAGUGCGUAACAGCUCACUAGUCGAGCGAUCUGGCGUGGAUAAUAAUCGGGCAUAAACGAUCUGCCGAAGCCGUGGAUGUCGUAAGACAUGGUAGGGGAGCAUUCCAUGCGGCGUCGAAGAUGAGGGAUGACCCUUGUUGGAGCGCAUGGAAAAGCAAAUGUAGGUAUGAGUAACGAUAAGGGGGGCGAGAAACCCCCCCGCCGAAAGACCAAGGUUUCCUGAUCAACGCUAAUCGGAUCAGGGUGAGUCGGGACCUAAGGCAAAGCCGAACGGCGACGCCGAUGGAAGAAUGGGUUAAUAUUCCCAUACUGCCUCAUGGAGUGACGUGGAGACGGAGAAGUGACAGUCCUGCCGGCUGACGGAAUAGCCGGUUGAAGGGUGUAGGAGUCGAUCAUGGUAGGCAAAUCCGCCGUGAGAUCCGAACCUGACAGUAUACUGAGCGCUUGCGCGACGUAAUAUGGACGUAACCAUGCUCCCAAGAAAAUCCGCUAAACUUAUCCAUGCGGCACCCGUACCGUAAACGGACACACGUGGUCGGGUUGAGAAUACUGAGGCGCUCGAGUGACUCACGGUUAAGGAACUAGGCAAAUUGACCCUGUAACUUCGGGAUAAAGGGUCCUCGUCGUAAGGCGAGGCGCAGAGAAUAGGUCCAGGCAACUGUUUAACAAAAACACAUGGCUGUGCUAAAUGGAAACAUGACGUAUACAGCCUGACACCUGCCCGGUGCUGGAAGGUUAAGAGGAGAUGUCAUCGCAAGAGAAGCGUUGAAUUGAAGCCCCAGUAAACGGCGGCCGUAACUAUAACGGUCCUAAGGUAGCGAAAUUCCUUGUCGGGUAAGUUC